AACGCACAUUGCGCCCGCCAGCACUCUGGCGGGCAUGCCUGUCCGAGCGUCAUUUCCACCCUCAGGCCCCCCGGGGCCUGGCGUUGGGGCAUCUGCGGGCGCCAGCCCGCAGGCCCCCAAGAGCAGCGGCGGACCCGCGGCACCACCGGGCGAAGUAGCACACGCGACGCCCCGGCGGCUGCGGCGGGCCAUCCGGCCGGCAAGCAGACCACUUAAACCACUCAAGGUUGACCUCGGAUCAGGUAGGAAUACCCGCUGAACUUAA
rnacentral:misc_RNA from 1 species